AUGAGAAAUGCAUCAUUCCAGGGUGCAGAGUAUAAAAUAAAUCACUGCACUGCCUUCCAAAAGAAAAAGAUGUCGCUGACAAUUCGUACUGAAUCAGGGGCUAUACGAUGCUGGAGUCGUAUCAAAACUACUGUUGAUGAAAGGAUCCAUUCCAACUAUUCGGGACCCUCUCCCAAGCAUUGAAACGGUGAG